GGCGGACGGGUGAGUAAUGUCUGGGAAACUGCCUGAUGGAGGGGGAUAACUACUGGAAACGGUGGCUAAUACCGCAUAACGUCGCAAGACCAAAGAGGGGGACCUUCGGGCCUCUUGCCAUCAGAUGUGCCCAGAUGGGAUUAGCUUGUUGGUGAGGUAACGGCUCACCAAGGCGACGAUCCCUAGCUGGUCUGAGAGGAUGACCAGCCACAC
rnacentral:rRNA from 1 species